rnacentral:rRNA from 1 species
AUUGAACGCUGGCGGCAUGCCUUACACAUGCAAGUCGAACGGUAACGGGCCUUCGGGUGCCGACGAGUGGCGGACGGGUGGGUAAUACAUCGGAACGUGCCCGAUCGUGGGGGAUAACGAGGCGAAAGCUUUGCUAAUACCGCAUACGAUCUACGGAUGAGAGCAGGGGACGGCAAGGCCUUGCGCGGACGGGGCGGCCGAUGGCAGAUUAGGUAGUUGGUGGGAUAAAAGCUUACCAAGCCGACGAUCUGUAGCUGGUCUGAGAGGAUGAUCAGCCACACUGGGACUGAGACACGGCCCAGACUCCUACGGGAGGCAGCAGUGGGGAAUUUUGGACAAUGGGCGCAAGCCUGAUCCAGCCAUGCCGCGUGCAGGAUGAAGGCCUUCGGGUUGUAAACUGCUUUUGUACGGAACGAAAAGCCUUCUUUUAAUACAGGAGGGUCAUGACGGUACCGUAAGAAUAAGCACCGGCUAACUACGUG